CCCUUAGAUGUUCUGGGCUGCACGCGCGCUACACUGAUGCUUUCAUCGAGUAUAUAACCUUACCAGACAUGGUUGGGUAAUCUUUUGAAACAGCAUCGUGAUGGGGAUAGAUUAUUGUAAUUAUUAGUCUUCAACGAGGAAUUCCUAGUAAGCGCGAAUCAUCAGUUCGUGCUGAUUACGUCCCUGCCCUUUGUACACACCGCCCGUCGCUACUACCGAUUGAACGGUUUAGUGAGGGCCUCGGAUUGGUCUCGGCCCGCUCUUUACCGGGCGGCGCCGUUGGUCGAGAAGACGCUCGAACUUGAUCGUUUAGAGGAAGUAAAAGUCGUAACA
rnacentral:rRNA from 1 species